rnacentral:rRNA from 1 species
UACGUAGGCAGCAAGCGUUGUUCGGAAUUACUGGGCGUAAAGAGUGUGUAGGCGGUGCUCUAAGUUCGGUGUGAAAUCUCCCGGCUCAACUGGGAGGGUGCGCCGAAUACUGAGAAGCUAGAGUGUGGGAGAGGAAAGUGGAAUUCCUGGUGUAGCGGUGAAAUGCGUAGAUAUCAGGAGGAACACCGGUGGUGUAAACGGCUUUCUGGACCAUAACUGACGCUGAGGCACGAAAGCGUGGGUAGCAAACAGG